GACGCUGAAGCUCGAAGGUGCGGGUAUCGAACAGGAUUAGAUACCCUGGUAGUCCGCACGGUAAACGAUGGAUGCCCGCUGUUGGCGAUACAAUGUCAGCGGCCAAGCGAAAGCGUUAAGCAUCCCACCUGGGGAGUACGCCGGCAACGGUGAAACUCAAAGGAAUUGACGGGGGCCCGCACAAGCGGAGGAACAUGUGGUUUAAUUCGAUGAUACGCGAGGAACCUUACCCGGGCUUGAACUGCAGCAGACGGAUUCAGAGAUGAUGACUCCCUUCGGGGCUGCUGUGGAGGUGCUGCAUGGUUGUCGUCAGCUCGUGCCGUGAGGUGUCGGCUUAAGUGCCAUAACGAGCGCAACCCUUUUCGUCAGUUGCCAUCAGGUAGAGCUGGGCACUCUGGCGACACUGCCACCGUAAGGUGUGAGGAAGGUGGGGAUGACGUCAAAUCAGCACGGCCCUUACGUCCGGGGCUACACACGUGUUACAAUGGGUGGUACAGAAAGCCGGUGCAUGGCAAUAUGCAUCCAAUCAGUAAAGCCAUCCUCAGUUCGGAUUGGGGUCUGCAACCCGACCCCAUGAAGCUGGAUUCGCUAGUAAUCGCGC
rnacentral:rRNA from 1 species